rnacentral:rRNA from 1 species
GACGAACGCUGGCGGCGUGCCUAACACAUGCAAGUCGAGCGGAGAAUUGUUGAAGAUUUAUCUGAUGCAGUUUUUAGCGACGGACGGGUGAGUAACGCGUGGGUAACCUACCUUGUACAGGGGGAUAACACAGGGAAACUUGUGCUAAUACCGCAUGAAAUCAGUUUAUCGCAUGGUAGACUGAUCAAAGGAGUCAAAUCCGGUAUAAGAUGGACCCGCGUCCGAUUAGCUAGUUGGAGGUGUAAAGGACCACCAAGGCGACGAUCGGUAGCCGAACUGAGAGGUUGAUCGGCCACAUUGGGACUGAGACACGGCCCAGACUCCUACGGGAGGCGGCAGUGGGGAAUAUUGCGCAAUGGGGGGAACCCUGACGCAGCAACGCCGCGUGAAGGAUGAAGGUUUUCGGAUUGUAAACUUUUUUAGUCGGGGACGAAUAAUGACGGUACCCGAAGAAUAAGCCACGGCUAACUACGUGCCAGCCGCCGCGGUAA